rnacentral:rRNA from 1 species
CACGUAGGGGACGAGCGUUGUCCGGAUUCAUUGGGCGUAAGGCGCGCGUAGGCGGCUCGGAAAGUCGGUCGUGAAAUGCCAGGGCUCAACCCCGGGACUGCGUCCGAUACUCUCGAGCUGGAGGCAGGUAGGGGAGAUCGGAAUUCCUGGUGUAGCGGUGAAAUGCGCAGAUAUCAGGAGGAACACCGGUGGCGAAGGCGGAUCUCUGGGCCUUGCCUGACGCUGAGGCGCGAAAGCUAGGGGAGCGAACAGG